rnacentral:rRNA from 1 species
UACGUAGGGGGCAAGCGUUGUCCGGAAUUAUUGGGCGUAAAGCGCGUGUAGGCGGCUUUGCAAGUCGGGUGUGAAAGCCCUCAGCUCAACUGAGGAAGUGCGCCCGAAACUGCAGAGCUUGAGUGCCGGAGAGGGUGGCGGAAUUCCCCAAGUAGAGGUGAAAUUCGUAGAUAUGGGGAGGAACACCGGUGGCGAAGGCGGCCACCUGGACGGUAACUGACGCUGAGACGCGAAAGCGUGGGAGGCAAACAGG